rnacentral:rRNA from 1 species
UGAAGCCAAGCUCGGGCACCCGCUGAAUUUAAGCAUAUAAGUAAGCGGAGGAUCGGAAACUAAACAGGAUUCCCUUAGUAAUGGCGAAUGAACAGGGAUGCGCUCGGACUGGGAAUCGUGGCCUUCGGCUUUGACUUGUAGUCUGUAGUUGCAAAGCUAACAGAGGCGCAGGCGAAAAUCUGUUGGAAUAUUGGGCAUAGAGGGUGAGAGUCCCGUCCGCCAUGCGCAGUCCUCCGUGUACAGCUUGUGCCAAAGAGUCGCGCUCCUCGGGAGUGGAGUGCAAAGCGGGUGGUAAAUUUCAUCCGAAGCUAAAUACAUGUUCGAGAUCGACAGUGGACAAGUACCAUGAGGGAAAGGUGAAAAGGACUUUGAAAAGAGAGCUAAAAGGACAUGAAUUCGCUGAAAGGGAAGCGAAUGGGACUAGACGCGUUGGGCGAGAUUGCAGCCAUGUUUGCGAGGCCCUGCCGUUUUGGUACAAACACUGCGGCGGGUUGCGAGCAAUGAUUCGUUGUGUCUCUCGUUCAGCAUGCGACCCGUAGCGCAUCUUUGAAGACAACGUUUGUGUGCGGAAUCCUUCCCUGGCGGGUGUGCACGCUGGUACGAAAUCCAUCGAUGCGCUGCUUGGUUGCGACUUAGUUUCCUUCGACCCGUCUUGUAACACGGACCAAGGAGUCUAACACGUGUGCGAGUCUGGGGGGACACACCCAGGAGCGAAACGAAAGUGAGAGCCGGGACUUCGCCGCACCGGCAACCGACUGACCAAUUGUGGGAGGUUUGAGUAUGAGCACACAUGCUAGGACCCGAAAGAUGGUGAACUAUGCCUGUGAAGAGUAAACUCAGGGGAAACUCUGAUGGAGGCUCGUAGCGAUACUGACGUGCAAAUCGUUCGUCAAACAUGGGUAUAGGGGCGAAAGACUAAUCGAACCAUCUAGUAGCUGGUUUCCUCCGAAGUUUCCCUCAGGAUAGCUGGAGUUGAACAGUUGUUUCAGGUAAAGCGAAUGAUUAGAGGAAUCGGGGGCGCGUAGCCCUCGACCUAUUCUCAAACUUUAAAUGGGUACGAGCCAAUGGUUGCUUAGGUGAACUUUUGGGAGAAAUGACGACUCUAAGUGGGCCACUUUUGGUAAGCAGAACUGGCGAUGAGGGAUGAACCUAUCGUUGGGUUAAGGCGCUGAACUGCCCGCUCAUUCGAUACCACAAAGGGUGUUGGUUCAUUUUAACAGCAGGACGGUGGUCAUGGAAGUCGAAAUCCGCUAAGGAGUGUGUAACAACUCACCUGCCGAAUGGACUAGCCCCGAAAAUGGAUGGCGCUCAAGCGUGUGGCCAAUACCCGACCAUCGUUGCAGUGCUGUAGCAUCGACGAGUAGGAGGGCGUGGGGGUUUGCCUCGAAGCUUCGGCCGCAAGGUUGGGUGAAGCAGCCUCUAGUGCAGAUCUUGGUGGUAGUAGCAAAUAUUCAAAUGGGAACUUUGAAGAUCGAAGUGGAGAAGGGUUCCAUGUGAACAGUACUUGGACAUGGGUUAGUCGAUCCUAAGGGAUAGGGAUAUUCCGCAUAUGCAGGCUUAGCCCCGCUUCUCGAAAGGGCAUGGGGUCAAUACUCCCCAACUAGGACAUGGAUACUUGAUGGCAACAUAAGAGAACUCGGCAAUACAGACGGAGGCCUUGGACAGCGUUGUCUUUUCUUCCUAACCAUCUGGUACCCUGAAAUCAGAUUGCCUGGAGAUAGGGUUCACUCUUGGGUAAAGCACCUUGUCUUCCGAGGUGUCCGGUGCGCUUCCGGCUGUCCUUGAAAAGUCGAGCGACAUGCUUAUUCACAUCCCUGCUCGUACCCAUAACCGCAUCAGGUCUCCAAGGUUAGCAGCC